ACAGGUUCGGUGUCGCCCAGUCACCUCCGUCGCGCAGUCACCUGCAUCGCGCAGCAGCCGUCGUUCGUCGGAACAGCCACCUCCAUCACACAGCAGCCGACGUCUCUUGAAGGUGCUCCACCACUGCUUGAAGUCGUCGCCCAGCCAGUCACCUCCAUCACCCGACGUCGCUGUCUCCCAAGUCCCACUCUCCCUAUUGCAUGUUCUGUACUUGAAGCCUUGAAGGUGCCUUCGAGCUUCCAAGAGUUCCAGGAAUAUAUGACUUGAUGCCUGUGAAAUUGCGAAGGGUGAUGUUUCAGGGUCUCUGGUGGAGUUUGACAGGGCAAUUGAGUUGGACCCUCGUCAAAAGGCGUGUAUGUUUAUAAGCAUUUUGAAAAAAAAAAGCGUUAUAUCAGCACUUUGGAUUGGAAUGAUUGUAAAUUGAGUUCAAGUUACAUGAAAUUUGGUUGUGCUCAUUGUGUUUGUUACCAGAUCUUUGGCAAAGGGGCCUCUCCCUUUACUACCUUGAUAGAUUUGAAAAAGGAGCUAA